rnacentral:tRNA from 1 species
GUCCCCAUCGUCUAGCCCGGCCCAGGACACCUGCCUUUCACGCAGGCGACGGGGGUUCAAAUCCCCCUGGGGACGCCA